UACGUAGGGUGCGAGCGUUAAUCGGAAUUACUGGGCGUAAAGCGUGCGCAGGCGGCUUUGUAAGUCAGAUGUGAAAUCCCCGGGCUUAACCUGGGAAUGGCAUUUGGGACUGCAAGGCUGGAGUGCGGCAGAGGAGACUGGAAUUCCUGGUGUAGCAGUGAAAUGCGUAGAUAUCAGGAGGAACACCGAUGGCGAAGGCAGGUCUCUGGGCUGACACUGACGCUCAUGCACGAAAGCGUGGGGAGCAAACAGG
rnacentral:rRNA from 1 species